CCUGUGGCCACAACCACCCUGAAUGUGCCCUGAAGAUAAGCAGGGUUGGGCCUGGUUAGUACUUGGACAGGAAAAUGGAGUACUGUAACGGUUUCAAGU
rnacentral:rRNA from 1 species